rnacentral:rRNA from 1 species
UACGGAGGGUGCGAGCGUUGUUCGGAAUCACUGGGCGUAAAGGGCGUGUAGGCGGUCCGCUAAGUCUGAUGUGAAAGCCCGGGGCUCACCCCCGGAAGUGCAUUGGAAACUGGCGGACUCGAGUCCCGGAGAGGAGAGUGGAAUUCCUGGUGUAGCGGUGAAAUGCGUAGAUAUCAGGAGGAACACCGGUGGCGAAGGCGGGUCUCUGGGCCGAUAUCGACGCUGAGGAGCGAAAGCGUGGGGAGCGAACAGG